CAGUAGCCGCGGGAAUACAGAGGGUGCGAGCGUUAAUCGGAUUUACUGGGCGUAAAGCGUGCGUAGGCGGCUUUUUAAGUCGGAUGUGAAAUCCCUGAGCUUAACUUAGGAAUUGCAUUUGAUACUGGGAAGCUAGAGUAUGGGAGAGGAUGGUAGAAUUCCAGGUGUAGCGGUGAAAUGCGUAGAGAUCUGGAGGAAUACCGAUGGCGAAGGCAGCCAUCUGGCCUAAUACUGACGCUGAGGUACGAAAGCAUGGGGAGCAAACAGGAUUAGAUACCCCUGUAGUCCCUGUCUCUUAUAC
rnacentral:rRNA from 1 species